CUUGUCUUUACUUAGAGUUUUAUUUUUCAUAUCAGAGGGCAAGGACUGACUGGAAGGAUCCCUCAUCUUUGUUCUCUAUGAAGCAUCAUGUCCAACUUUACAGAGCCUUGAAGCUGAAAAAAAACUACAUUUCAAAGAGAAGAAGCCUCCUUUCUCUGCUCAUGCUGGCUUUGUUCCUCGGUGGAUUUAGGGGAGAUGCUGAUGGAGUUACUGCCCGAAGGUGGCGCUGAGAAACCUCCUGAAGAAGGCACAAGCUUGAGACCUGGCAAGAACUCUGCCUGACAUCACCUGGGUCUGGCUAGGAGGACACUUUCUGACUUCCAAGAAAAACAAAUGGAAAUGCAAAAUGCUUGCAUCUGGCCUGUUACCUCAUUGUCGGCCACCAGGGCUGCUUGAGAGUCGUCAUGGCAUUCCCAGUUCCUUUUUGCUUGCUACAUAAUAAAUUAAAAGGACUGCUGAGAAAAAGCACAUUUACUGAAAGCAGGUGACACCACUCGAAGAGGAC